rnacentral:rRNA from 1 species
CAAUAGCGUAUAUUAAAGUUGUUGCAGUUAAAAAGCUCGUAGUUGGAUCUGUGGUGUGCGGUGGGCUCCGGGCACUUGUUGUCUGAGUAGCUCGCCGCUGCCAUCCUUGGGUGGAACCUGUGUGGCAUUAGGUUGUCGUGCAGGGGAUGCCCAUCGUUUACUGUGAAAAAAUUAGAGUGUUCAAAGCAGGCUUAUGCCGUUGAAUAUAUUAGCAUGGAAUAAUGAGAUAGGACUUUUUCGCUAUUUUGUUGGUUUGCGCGAAGAGGUAAUGAUUAAUAGGGACAGUUGGGGGCAUUCGUAUUCCAUUGUCAGAGGUGAAAUUCUUGGAUUUUUGGAAGACGAACUACUGCGAAAGCAUUUACCAAGGAUGUUUUCAUUAA